rnacentral:rRNA from 1 species
AUUCAGGCCUAACACAUGCAAGUCGAGCGGUAGAGAGAAGCUUGCUUCUCAAGAAAAAGGCGGACGGGUGAGUAAUGCCUAGGAAUCUGCCUGGUAGUGGGGGAUAACGUUCGGAAACGGACGCUAAUACCGCAUACGUCCUACGGGAGAAAGCAGGGGACCUUCGGGCCUUGCGCUAUCAGAUGAGCCUAGGUCGGAUUAGCUAGUUGGUGAGGUAAUGGCUCACCAAGGCUACGAUCCGUAACUGGUCUGAGAGGAUGAUCAGUCACACUGGAAGGGAGACACGGUCCAGACUCCUACGGGAGGCAGCAGUGGGGAAUAUUGGACAAUG